GGGUUGUGAGGUUAAGCGACUAAGCGUACACGGUGGAUGCCCUGGCAGUCAGAGGCGAUGAAGGACGUGCUAAUCUGCGAUAAGCGUCGGUAAGGUGAUAUGAACCGUUAUAACCGGCGAUUUCCGAAUGGGGAAACCCAGUGUGAUUCGUCACACUAUCAUUAACUGAAUCCAUAGGUUAAUGAGGCGAACCGGGGGAACUGAAACAUCUAAGUACCCCGAGGAAAAGAAAUCAACCGAGAUUCCCCCAGUAGCGGCGAGCGAACGGGGAGCAGCCCAGAGCCUGAAUCAGUGUGUGUGUUAGUGGAAGCGUCUGGAAAGGCGCGCGAUACAGGGUGACAGCCCCGUACACAAAAAUACACAUACUGUGAGCUCGAUGAGUAGGGCGGGACACGUGGUAUCCUGUCUGAAUAUGGGGGGACCAUCCUCCAAGGCUAAAUACUCCUGACUGACCGAUAGUGAACCAGUACCGUGAGGGAAAGGCGAAAAGAACCCCGGCGAGGGGAGUGAAAAAGAACCUGAAACCGUGUACGUACAAGCAGUGGGAGCACGCUUAGGCGUGUGACUGCGUACCUUUUGUAUAAUGGGUCAGCGACUUAUAUUCUGUAGCAAGGUUAACCGAAUAGGGGAGCCGAAGGGAAACCGAGUCUUAACUGGGCGUUAAGUUGCAGGGUAUAGACCCGAAACCCGGUGAUCUAGCCAUGGGCAGGUUGAAGGUUGGGUAACACUAACUGGAGGACCGAACCGACUAAUGUUGAAAAAUUAGCGGAUGACUUGUGGCUGGGGGUGAAAGGCCAAUCAAACCGGGAGAUAGCUGGUUCUCCCCGAAAGCUAUUUAGGUAGCGCCUCGUGAAUUCAUCUCCGGGGGUAGAGCACUGUUUCGGCAAGGGGGUCAUCCCGACUUACCAACCCGAUGCAAACUGCGAAUACCGGAGAAUGUUAUCACGGGAGACACACGGCGGGUGCUAACGUCCGUCGUGAAGAGGGAAACAACCCAGACCGCCAGCUAAGGUCCCAAAGUCAUGGUUAAGUGGGAAACGAUGUGGGAAGGCCCAGACAGCCAGGAUGUUGGCUUAGAAGCAGCCAUCAUUUAAAGAAAGCGUAAUAGCUCACUGGUCGAGUCGGCCUGCGCGGAAGAUGUAACGGGGCUAAACCAUGCACCGAAGCUGCGGCAGCGACACUAUGUGUUGUUGGGUAGGGGAGCGUUCUGUAAGCCUGUGAAGGUGUACUGUGAGGUAUGCUGGAGGUAUCAGAAGUGCGAAUGCUGACAUAAGUAACGAUAAAGCGGGUGAAAAGCCCGCUCGCCGGAAGACCAAGGGUUCCUGUCCAACGUUAAUCGGGGCAGGGUGAGUCGACCCCUAAGGCGAGGCCGAAAGGCGUAGUCGAUGGGAAACAGGUUAAUAUUCCUGUACUUGGUGUUACUGCGAAGGGGGGACGGAGAAGGCUAUGUUGGCCGGGCGACGGUUGUCCCGGUUUAAGCGUGUAGGCUGGUUUUCCAGGCAAAUCCGGAAAAUCAAGGCUGAGGCGUGAUGACGAGGCACUACGGUGCUGAAGCAACAAAUGCCCUGCUUCCAGGAAAAGCCUCUAAGCAUCAGGUAACAUCAAAUCGUACCCCAAACCGACACAGGUGGUCAGGUAGAGAAUACCAAGGCGCUUGAGAGAACUCGGGUGAAGGAACUAGGCAAAAUGGUGCCGUAACUUCGGGAGAAGGCACGCUGAUAUGUAGGUGAAGUCCCUCGCGGAUGGAGCUGAAAUCAGUCGAAGAUACCAGCUGGCUGCAACUGUUUAUUAAAAACACAGCACUGUGCAAACACGAAAGUGGACGUAUACGGUGUGACGCCUGCCCGGUGCCGGAAGGUUAAUUGAUGGGGUCAGCGCAAGCGAAGCUCUUGAUCGAAGCCCCGGUAAACGGCGGCCGUAACUAUAACGGUCCUAAGGUAGCGAAAUUCCUUGUCGGGUAAGUUCCGACCUGCACGAAUGGCGUAAUGAUGGCCAGGCUGUCUCCACCCGAGACUCAGUGAAAUUGAACUCGCUGUGAAGAUGCAGUGUACCCGCGGCAAGACGGAAAGACCCCGUGAACCUUUACUAUAGCUUGACACUGAACAUUGAGCCUUGAUGUGUAGGAUAGGUGGGAGGCUUGGAAGUGUGGACGCCAGUCUGCAUGGAGCCGACCUUGAAAUACCACCCUUUAAUGUUUGAUGUUCUAACGUUGACCCGUGAUCCGGGUUGCGGACAGUGUCUGGUGGGUAGUUUGACUGGGGCGGUCUCCUCCUAAAGAGUAACGGAGGAGCACGAAGGUUGGCUAAUCCUGGUCGGACAUCAGGAGGUUAGUGCAAUGGCAUAAGCCAGCUUGACUGCGAGCGUGACGGCGCGAGCAGGUGCGAAAGCAGGUCAUAGUGAUCCGGUGGUUCUGAAUGGAAGGGCCAUCGCUCAACGGAUAAAAGGUACUCCGGGGAUAACAGGCUGAUACCGCCCAAGAGUUCAUAUCGACGGCGGUGUUUGGCACCUCGAUGUCGGCUCAUCACAUCCUGGGGCUGAAGUAGGUCCCAAGGGUAUGGCUGUUCGCCAUUUAAAGUGGUACGCGAGCUGGGUUUAGAACGUCGUGAGACAGUUCGGUCCCUAUCUGCCGUGGGCGCUGGAGAACUGAGGGGGGCUGCUCCUAGUACGAGAGGACCGGAGUGGACGCAUCACUGGUGUUCGGGUUGUCAUGCCAAUGGCACUGCCCGGUAGCUAAAUGCGGAAGAGAUAAGUGCUGAAAGCAUCUAAGCACGAAACUUGCCCCGAGAUGAGUUCUCCCUGACUCCUUGAGAGUCCUGAAGGAACGUUGAAGACGACGACGUUGAUAGGCCGGGUGUGUAAGCGCAGCGAUGCGUUGAGCUAACCGGUACUAAUGAACCGUGAGGCUUAACCUUACAACGCCGAAG
rnacentral:rRNA from 1 species